GGAUAACGUUUGGAAACGAACGCUAAUACCGCAUGAUAUUAUCUUGUCGCAUGAUAGGAUGAUCAAAGGAGUGAUCCGCUGAAAGAUGGGCUCGCGUCCGAUUAGGUAGUUGGUGAGGUAACGGCCCACCAAGCCGACGAUCGGUAGCCGGACUGAGAGGUUGGACGGCCACAUUGGGACUGAGACACGGCCCAGACUCCUACGGGAGGCAGCAGUAAGGGAUAUUGGUCAAUGGGGGAAACCCUGAACCAGCAACGCCGCGUGAGGGAAGACGGUUUUCGGAUUGUAAACCUCUGUCCUCUGUGAAGAUGAUGACGGUAGCAGAGGAGGAAGCUCCGGCUAACUACGUGCCAGCAGCCGCGGUAAUACGUAGGGAGCGAGCGUUGUCCGGAUUUACUGGGUGUAAAGGGUGCGUAGGCGGCUAUGCAAGUCAGUAGUGAAAUCCAUGGGCUUAACCCAUGAACUGCUAUUGAAACUGCACAGCUUGAGUGAAGUAGAGGUAGGCGGAAUUCCCGGUGUAGCGGUGAAAUGCGUAGAGAUCGGGAGGAACACCAGUGGCGAAGGCGGCCUACUGGGCUUUAACUGACGCUGAGGCACGAAAGCGUGGGUAGCAAACAGGAUUAGAUACCCUGGUAGUCCACGCUGUAAACGAUGAUUACUAGGUGUGGGGGGACUGAACCCUUCCGUGCCGGAG
rnacentral:rRNA from 1 species